UUGAAGUCGAGAAUGAAAGAAAAAUUAAAAUAAACUGUCUUAAAAGUUUUUUUUAGAAAUUAUUAAUAUGGUGAAAAUUCCAUAAUAAAUUUUAAUAGACGAGAAGACCCUAUGAAUUAUUUAUUAAAAAUUUUAUUUAAAAAUUUUAAAUUUUUGUUGGGGCAACAGGAAUUUUUAAAACAAAAGAAGUUCUAUAUUUAAUACAUACUACAUUUGAAGUUUUACUAUAAAUGAAUUUAAUU
rnacentral:rRNA from 1 species